rnacentral:misc_RNA from 1 species
CAGCUGACGUGGCUGAAAGAUGGCGGUGCCACGUUAGGUGUCGGCUUCAACCAUUGCGUCUGUGAUGGGUUAGGUAGUACUGAGCUUCUCAACUCGUUAGCUGAGCUGGCCCUGAGUCAAGCUCGAUUUUCUGACUUGAAAAUUAAACCAAUUUGGGAUCGCCACCUUCUCGAUCCAAUAAAGCCUUGUCGUUCUUUCUCCUUGAGUCAUCCCGAGUUCAACCGAGUUCCAGACGUUUGUGGGUUCUUAGCUCGCUUUUCCAACGAAAGACUCAUCCCGACUUCCGUUAUAUUCGAUAAAAGGUGGAAAAACGAGUUAAAGAGACUCGCUGUGUCCAUGAGUCUACCUGGUGAGCCGGCAUACACGUCUUUCGAGGUAGUAUCAGCUCAUGUGUGGAGGAGCUGGGCCAGAGCUC